rnacentral:rRNA from 1 species
GACGAACGCUGGCGGCGUGCCUAAUACAUGCAAGUAGAACGCAGUUGCGAACGGGUGAGUAACGCGUAGGUAACUGCCUCAUAGCGGGGGAUCACUAUUGGAACCGUUAGCUAAUACCGCAUACUGUGAGAUGGACCUGCGUUGUGUUAGGGAGUUGGUGAGGUAAAGGCUCACCAAGGCGACGAGACAUAGCCGACCUGGGAGGGUGAGAGACCACACUGGGAAAGAGAGACAGGCCAGAGUCGUACGGGGGGCAGAAGAAGGGAAUAUUCGGCAAUGGAGGGGAGACUGAGCGAGCAACGCGGCGUGAGUGUAGAGGAGGUUUGGGGAGUAAAGAGCUGUUGUAAGAGAAGAGGUAACUAACAAGAAAGGGACGGCUAAAUACGUGCCAACAGCCGCGGUAAUAC